UCUGGUAAUGAUGACAAACUUGCCCUCACUGAGAACACUGUUCUAUAAUGAGAACUCAAAUCGUACUCAAACCUGAAUCGGA
ensembl:snoRNA